AUCUCUUCUCGGCCUUUUGGCUAUGAUCGAGUGUAGUAUCUGUUCGUAUCAGUUUAAAUGAGCCUCUUUAAAUCCAGAUUUCUUUAUAUAUUUUAGUGUUCGCAUGCCUAAGACGAAUUAAACGCUUU
rnacentral:snRNA from 1 species